CUAUACAUGACUCUGCGCAUAUCAAUAAGCGGAGGAAAAGUCAACUACCUACGCUUAGGAUGUUGACGAGACUGUCGAUCUCAUCUAUACAUGACUCUGCGCAUAUCAAUAAGCGGAGGAAAAGGCUGCGGAACUGAACGACCGCUACCUACGCUUAGGAUGUUGACGAGACUGUCGAUCUCAUCUAUACAUGACUCUGCGCAUAUCAAUAAGCGGAGGAAAAGUACCUACGCUUAGGAUGUUGACGAGACUGUCGAUCUCAUCUAUACAUGACUCUGCGCAUAUCAAUAAGCGGAGGAAAAGAAACUAACAAGGAUUCCCCUAGUAACGGCGAGUGAAGCGGGAAGAGCUCAAAUUUGAAAUCUUAAAGGGUUUCCCUUUACGAAUUGUAGUUUAAAGAAGUGUUUUCUGUUGGAGUUUCGGUAAAAGUUCUUUGGAAUAGGACAUCAUAGAGGGUGAGAAUCCCGUAUUUGACCGUUACUUUCCAGCUGUGUGAUACACUUUCAACGAGUCGGAUUGUUUGGGAAUGCAGUCCAAAAUGGGUGGUAAAUUUCAUCUAAAGCUAAAUAUUGGCGAGAGACCGAUAGCGAACAAGUACCGUGAGGGAAAGAUGAAAAGAACUUUGAAAAGAGAGUUAAACAGUACGUGAAAUUGUCAAAAGGGAAGCGUUUGACACCAGUGUUGUUUUUCCGAAAAUCAAUUACGAAUGUUUUGUUUUUGAGAAGUUAUGACUUCAUCGGCUUGCUUCUCUCUUUACGAAACUUUCUUAAUGCACUUUUCGGUUAACAAGUCAACAUCAAUUUCUUUUGUUGUAAAAGGGUAUGAGGAAGGUGGCUUUCUUUUCGGAGAAAGUGUUUAUAGCCUUGUGCCUCUGCAAUCGGAGAGAUUGAGGUCUGCAGCGUAGAUCCUUCGGGGUUAGAUACAUUUGUGCUAAGUUAUAGCUUUUCAUAGACAACUUGUUGACUAUGUUUAGUCUUGUAGCUUACUCGCUUAUGCUAUUUUACCUACGUUAGGAUGUUGACGAGACUGUCGAUCUC
rnacentral:rRNA from 1 species